UCCGGCUCAGCGGCAGAGCGGGUAACUGCUAAUCACUAGGUCGUUGGUUUGAUCCCAAUCGCCGGAGCCA
rnacentral:tRNA from 1 species